rnacentral:lncRNA from 1 species
CUACAGUAUCGAGAUAAUCACUGACGAUUGAAUAGAAAUCCAAGUGAUCUCUCGUAUGGUCAUGCUCAGUACUAGUUGUUCUAUAACAACCACCUGCACUCAUCGUCUUGUGACUUUACACAGUAGACCAGAGAUUUAUCUAUCUCGAAGGAAGCAACUUGUGCACCAUUCUAUCUGGAUCUAUCACCGUCCUCAUGAUGAUCCCAU